CCUACGGGAGGCAGCAGUGGGGAAUUUUGGACAAUGGGCGAAAGCCUGAUCCAGCAAUGCCGCGUGCAGGAAGAAGGCCUUCGGGUUGUAAACUGCUUUUGUACGGAACGAAACGGUCUGCUUUAAUACAGUGGGCUAAUGACGGUACCGUAAGAAUAAGCACCGGCUAACUACGUGCCAGCAGCCGCGGUAAUACGUAGGGUGCGAGCGUUAAUCGGAAUUACUGGGCGUAAAGCGUGCGCAGGCGGUUAUAUAAGACAGUUGUGAAAUCCCCGGGCUCAACCUGGGAAUUGCAUCUGUGACUGUAUAGCUAGAGUACGGUAGAGGGGGAUGGAAUUCCGCGUGUAGCAGUGAAAUGCGUAGAUAUGCGGAGGAACACCGAUGGCGAAGGCAAUCCCCUGGACCUGUACUGACGCUCAUGCACGAAAGCGUGGGGAGCAAACAGGAUUAGAUACCCUGGUAGUCCACGCCCUAAACGAUGUCAACUGGUUGUUGGGUGNAUAGUACUACAGUAACGAAGACGUACGACGUGAGUAGACCGCCGUGGGAGGUACGGCCGGCGAGGUUAGUAAACGUUAAAGGUAAAGUUAGUACGGCGUGAGACGUGCGACGGACGACGACGAGGGAGGAGG
rnacentral:rRNA from 1 species